CAGGACGAACGCUGGCGGCGUGCUUAACACAUGCAAGUGGAGCGACGAACCGGGGCUUGCCCCGGGGCAGAGCCGCGAACGGGUGAGUAACACGUGGGUAACCUGCCUCAAUGAUUGGGACAACCCGGGGAAACUCGGGCUAAUACCAAAUGUGUUCACUCCUUCUAAGGGGAGUGAGGAAGGAAGCUUCGGCCUCCGCAUUGAGAUGGGCCCGCGGCCCAUUAGCUUGUUGGUGAGGUAACGGCUCACCAAGGCUUCGAUGGGUAGCUGGUCUGAGAGGACGAUCAGCCACACUGGGACUGAGACACGGCCCAGACUCCUACGGGAGGCAGCAGUGGGGAAUCUUGCACAAUGCGCGAAAGCGUGAUGCAGCAACGCCGCGUGGGGAAGACGGCCUUCGGGUUGUAAACCCCUUUCAGUUGGGACGAAGCUUCGUCGGUGAAUAGCCGGUUGGAGUGACGGUACCUUCAGAAGAAGCCCCGGCUAACUACGUG
rnacentral:rRNA from 1 species